rnacentral:rRNA from 1 species
UACGGAGGGUGCAAACGUUGCUCGGAAUCAUUGGGCGUAAAGCGCACGUAGGCGGCUCGUUAAGUCGGAUGUGAAAGCCCCGGGCUCAACCCGGGAAGAGCAUACGAAACUGGCGAGCUGGAGUAUGGAAGAGGGUCGCGGAAUUCCCGGUGUAGAGGUGAAAUUCGUAGAUAUCGGGAGGAACACCAGUGGCGAAGGCGGCGACCUGGGCCAAUACUGACGCUGAGGUGCGAAAGCGUGGGGAGCAAACAGG